rnacentral:rRNA from 1 species
CCCCUAGAUGUUCUGGGCCGCACGCGCGCUACACUGAACAGUUCAACAAGUCUUAACCUUGGCCGAUAGGUCUGGGUAAUCUUUGAACGCUGUUCGUGAUUGGGAUAGACCUUUGCAAUUAUGGGUCUUCAACGAGGAAUUCCUAGUAAACGCAAGUCAUCAGCUUGCAUUGAUUACGUCCCUGCCCUUUGUACACACCGCCCGUCGCACCUACCGAUCGAAGGUAAUGAUGAGCCCUCAGGAUUGUGGCCUCGUCGCGUCAGCGUCUUGGCUGCGAGAAUCUGUGCAAAUCCCNANCUUUAGNGGAAGGUGAANUCGUANCA